AAACUUUGUUUCUUGUCAAUCUUGCUUCAAGUGUAUGGCUGAAUUAAGAACUCAUGUUUUUAUAUUAUUUGUUUAUGUUAAUUUAUCGAAUGAAAAUCAUAUUAUAUCCUAGCUAUUUUCAUGUAUACGUAAGAAUUUGCUGCCAUAUCUUUACCAUAUGGUAUGGAACUUAUUUUUGUAUUGGGUUGCUAACCUGAUCAGCAGACAAGGCGGGUACAUGUUAAUAUGUUAUGCACUCUUGAGUCAUACAAAGUUAUUUACUUUCUCUCUCCCUCGUUUCUCAAUGUUUGCAUGACGCCACGCUCGGAUGCUUUACAUUAUAGUUUCGAGGAAUAUGUUGUAAUCCUUUUUUUUUUUUUAUUACCGUUAUGUUCUUUCCAGACGUGUCUGAAUUUCUUUUCUUCCCAAUAUCUAUUUUCUCUUUAGACUUUGGCAUUUUUGUCAUUAAUUGUCUAUCAAACUGUUUGACGUUGCAACGUGCUUGGCCAAAGAUUAACUCUAGGUGGUGAAUAUUUUGUUUGAUUGUUUUGAGCCAUAAUUCUUUGUUGUGAUUUGAUUGUUUGUGUUGAUUGUGUUAUAAUGCUUUGUGAUUCACUAUAUUGUAUAAGAAAGGGGUGUUCAGAGAUGUCAUUUCAUUUUGUGCUAGAGAAUUUUUUUUUUCUUGUUUGGGGAUCUCUGAAUGCAAGAAUUUCAUGCUAGAAUCUGUCCUAAUGUUACCUUAUUCAAGAGGAGGUGUUUCUAAUUGCAAGAUGAGUCACAAAAAGUGAAUCACUUGCUGUGGGUAAUUUGACACAUUCUUUUUACCUGCUGUUAUGUUUGGUCUCUUGGUCUAAUGAAAUAGUUCCAUCAUUUUUUUUAAGAUAACACUAGUUUUUAGUAGUUUUAUUAGCGGAUAUCAAGUAGAGGGUCUUGCUGAAUGCAUAGGCCUCUUAUGCAAUGCUAAUUAAUUGACACUGUUAAGUUUUUAAACCAGAACAGCUGGGGCUUUAACUAGUUAAUGAUAGAGAGAUAUCAACCAGGUUAAAGUGACAUUAUAUUUGAUGAAUUGAGGGUUGUUUUGUGAUGGAAUAGGAGAAUGGUUCAUUUGGAGUCGUUGUGCCAAGGCGUGUUCAGCUGGCAAUGAGGAACAACGAGGAGCCCAAACUUCUUGGUUCUGUUACCAUUGCUGAUGGUGUUGUGUUGCCUGACAGCCACAUGUCACUGCCUAAGAGAACUGGUUCUGGCCCGAAGGUCCUGCUGAUGUUGACCGCCACAGAUUUUCAUGUAACCUUUCCGCCCUUUAAAAGAAUAUUCUCAUGCGUUUUGGCAAUAGUGGGCAAGCAAAACCAUUGCCUGACUUGAUGUACUUUGACCAUUUUGAGAAAAAAGAAUAGGAUCUCAUUCACA
rnacentral:misc_RNA from 1 species